rnacentral:rRNA from 1 species
UACGUAGGUGGCGAGCGUUGUCCGGAAUUACUGGGUGUAAAGGGCGUGUAGGCGGGGGGUCAAGUCGGCUGUGAAAUACCGGGGCUCAACCACGGAGCUGCAUCCGAUACUGUGAGUCUAGAGUACCGGAGAGGAGAGUGGAAUUCCCAGUGUAGCGGUGAAAUGCGUAGAUAUUGGGAGGAACACCAGUGGCGAAGGCGGCUCUCUGGACCGCAACUGACGCUGAGGAGCGAAAGCGUGGGGAGCGAACAGG